AAGCGCUUGUGACCAGACUUGGGCUUGGUGAAUCACCCGGCGUUCUCGCCGGGGUACUUUGCCAGUUCAGGCCAGCAUCAGUUCGCCGCGGGGGACAAAGGCGUCGGGAACGUGGCUCCCUCGGGAGUGUUAUAGCCCGUCGCGCAAUACCCUGGGGCGGACUGAGGUUCGCGCUCCGCAAGGAUGCUGGCGUAAUGGUCAUCAGCGA
rnacentral:rRNA from 1 species